UUCUGGUUGAUCCUGCCGGAGGCUACCGCUAUUGGAGUUCGAUUAAGCCAUGCGAGUCGAGAGUCUUAGGGACUCGGCGUACCGCUCAGUAACACGUGGGUAACCUGCCCUAUGCUGGGGAAUAACCUCGGGAAACUGAGAAUAAUACCCCAUAGUUCACCACGCCUGGAACGGUGGGUGGAUGAAAGCUCCGGCGGCAUAGGAUGGGCCUGCGACGUAUCAGGUUGUAGGGGGUGUAACGUACCCUCUAGCCAUCAACGCGUACGGGUGUUGGGAGACAUAGCCCGGAGAUGGAUUCUGAGACACGAAUCCAGACCCUACGGGGUGCAGCAGGCGCGAAAACUUGGCAAUGCGAGCAAUCGUGACCAGGGAACUCCAAGUGGCUGGGGUAAUACCCAGUUUUUUCUUGACUCUUCAAAGGUCUUGGAAUAAGGGGUGGGUAAGGACGGUGCCAGCCGCCGCGGUAAUACCGGCGCCUCAAGUGGUAGUCGCUUUUAUUGGGCCUAAAACGUCCGUAGCCGGUCUGGUGCAUUCGUGGGUAAAUCAACCCGCUCAACGGGUUGAAUUCUGCGAGCACGGCCAGACUUGGGACCGGGAGAGGUGUGGGGUACUCUCAGGGUAGGGGUAAAAUCCUGUCAUCCUGAGAGGACCACCUGUUGC
rnacentral:rRNA from 1 species